AGGUUGGAAGUAUGGGAUGUGGUGGAACAUAAUGGACGGUCUCAAAGUAGGUUGGGAUUAUCGAGUAUAGUGGAACAGAAUGGACGAUCUGAAAAUUUACAUGGAAACUUUUGUUGACAUUUUGGAAUAGAAUCAGGCAACUACAAGAUUGUUCAAGUAAAUAGUGAUGUUGACAUAAUAACGGCUACAGGAUAUAGUCAAACAGAGAAUUAAGAUGGAUGAAUAUAGGUUGGGGAUUAAACUACUUCAAGCUCAAACAGACGGAAAUAUACAGGGAUUCGUAGAAACAUUAUCAUUACAAGAUAAGCAGCAAGCUUUAAUUACAUGUGCUAGAGAAGGGUUGUAUGAAGUUAUAAUUUAUAUGUUAGAACACGGUAUUGAUUCACAUUAUAUUAAUCCCCAUCAGAACAACCUGAUACAUCACCUUUUAUAUAACUAUAACAGAUAUAAAAA